GACGAACGCUGGCGGCGUGCUUAACACAUGCAAGUCGAGCGGUAAGGCCUCUUCGGGGGUACACGAGCGGCGAACGGGUGAGUAACACGUGGGUGACCUGCCCUCAGCUCUGGGAUAAGCCUGGGAAACUGGGUCUAAUACCGGAUAUGACCUUUCCUCGCAUGGGGUUUGGUGGAAAGUUUUUUCGGCUGGGGAUGGGCCCGCGGCCUAUCAGCUUGUUGGUGGGGUGAUGGCCUACCAAGGCGACGACGGGUAGCCGGCCUGAGAGGGCGACCGGCCACACUGGGACUGAGACACGGCCCAGACUCCUACGGGAGGCAGCAGUGGGGAAUAUUGCGCAAUGGGCGGAAGCCUGACGCUGCGACGCCGCGUGGGGGAUGACGGCCUUCGGGUUGUAAACCUCUUUCGACCCCGACGAAUUUGGACGGUAGGGGUAGAAGAAGCACCGGCCAACUACGUG
rnacentral:rRNA from 1 species